ACUUCAUCGUUGCCUUAUUGGCUUUAGCAUCCUCUGUUGGUUUUGCCUAUGAUCCCAGCCCAUUGCAAGACUUUUGUGUUGCAAUCAAUGAUACUAAAACUGGUGGUAUAUAUUUGUUGUUCAAUUGUUCAAAAUAAAUGAAUCCAUCCAUGUUAUUAUAGUUUAUUUAUUUAUUUUUUUGUUUAAAUGAUGAUGAGUUUUAUGCUUCUAUAUUAACUAAUUAGAAAGUGUCAAAAGUUCACUAUAAUAAUCAAUUUUUCUUGUGAUUUGGUUUUUUGAUUUACAGUGUUUGUGAAUGGAAAAUUUUGCAAAGAUCCUAAGCUUGCAAAUGCGGAUGAUUUCUUCUUUCAAGGAUUGGGACCUGGGAAUACUUCAAAUCCACUCGGAUCAAAAGUGACUCCAGUGACGGUUAAUGAAAUAUUAGGACUCAACACACUUGGUAUAUCUUUGGCUCGCGUCGA
rnacentral:lncRNA from 1 species